rfam:Myotis brandtii contig155588, whole genome shotgun sequence.
GGUGGUUCUCAGGUGACGCACCCUAGAAUCGGGCUCCUUUCUCUCUGGUUCCAGGUGGGUCACCUGAGAACCGCA